AAAAACAAUGCAGUUUAUACUGGAAAAGCGAGGAGGAUGCAGGAGCUGGAGGAGCCAUGGCUGGUUUAGCCGGUGACUCCGAGACACAUCCUUAUGUCUCCUUCACGAUCAACCUUGCUUAGAAUUGAUGAGAGAUGCUUUAUGCUUCUUCUGCAUCUCACACUUAUAUUUGUUUAUGUCUUACGUGAAAACAAGAGUCAUUCAUUAUAUCGCUAGCUUAUUAGCAAGUGAAACCAGUUUCUUAUUCUGUUAAUCUCAUGUAUAUAUUUCUCUACGCUUGACAUUCUUGAUUGUUAUCCUCUGAUGUAUUACUCAUGAUAGAUAGUUUCAGGAUUUAUCAGAUUUUCACAAAAUUUGAUAGGAAUGUUAAUUUUAUCCCCAAAAAACUGUUAUAUUUACUGUAUAGAAAGGGGGGCGAGUGAUGAUUUCACCUCUCUUGACCCAUCAUAUGCUACAAUGGCUGCCAUGUGAAGGCCACGUCUCUCUCUUUAUCUCAUCACUUUUUAGUAAUCAUCUCCAUUUUCACCAUCGACCCAAAAUUUCACCAGCUAUAAGUGGUUUUAGUUGACUCAGAUAAUGCUUUAUAUUAUUGGAUUUUGCUGUUCAACCAACCUCCGUUUCACCUUUAGUUAAUGCGGGUAAAUUAUCUGGUAAAUUUCGGUGUGGAUGUGACAUACACCUCACCCUCCUGAUUUUAUAAUCCUAAGAUUUUAUCUUUUUUCUGGUUCAAUUACACAUGCAUGUUUUUUUCCAACAAAUACAGACUAUAUAGACCUUGCAUACAUACAUAUAUAAUAUUUUAAGUAACUUUUGAAUAAUUUCUUCUUCUAGAACUCUUAUCUUAAAGUUAUAAAAAAUAACUCUUUAUCUCAUUUAUAUUUUCUCAACUUUUUGUUGGUUCAUGAGAUUCCUUUCUCCUUUUAUCCUAUGAAGCCGAAGGCUAAAUUCGAAGGCCCAAAAAGCAGAGACUCAUGAUGACGCAUGUCUCAAUUAUUCAUACACAUACAAACAACAUUACACGCAUUUCACCACCAUACCAACCACACAUAUCAUAUCAUAUACACAUCGGCUUAAAUAAAUAUGUAUGAAUCUUCAAUAUGAGAUUCGGAAAGGAACCCUUUUCAGUUCUCAUUGUCACUCCCUAGUGGUCCAGUUCUUUGUUUUUUUAUUAGUGGCAUCAAAAACAUAAGAGAUAUGAUGAUAUUCUCCUGACAAAAAAAAUCUGUAACUCAUAUAUUUGAACUAUACGAAUCUAUGGAGAACAUCUUAACCUUUCAGAGAUAUUCGCUGCGACAAACAUAGAUGUAGUUGAGUAGCUUUAGCUUACAAAAUAAAGCGUACAAAGGACCCUCACAAGUUCAAAGGAAUCACAAACUAAGAAAGCUCUAAAUACCACACACACUUGUGGUAAAAAAAGAAGAAGAAAGCUCCACAUACCAAUCAUAGAACAACUUUAACAUCCCCUUAUAAAAUUAUAAUCCAAUGGGUUGUAUUUAGUCCCUUCACUAAGGUUAAAUACAUAAGGACUAGUAUGAGAAAUAAAAGUUUGCAUCUUUACUCACCAUCGGCAUCAAAAGAAGAGCAUUGCCAAUAUAAUGUCAGUUUCUUCAACUAGUUUAGCUUGCUCACUGACCCUUACUACGAGUCUACGACUUGGGUUGCAUUGCACUCAACCAAAAGGAACACGAGAACACGAGCUAGUUUAUUCAAAGACUUACUUAGACGCUGCAUCACUAUCUAAUUCAAGAAUGUUUACUUCAAUGCAUGAUGUCACUGAUCAUUAAGUCUAAUCUCAUUUCUCAGAAAAAAAAAAGGCUCAUCUACGCAGCUUAAAACAAGACUUUCAAAGAUCAUUCACGACCUCCACUAGAGUAAACCCUUGUCACUGUACUACACAUCACAAACCUUAACUUCAAAAUCCUGACUCAAUACUAAUUUUCUCCAAUGUAAAGUCACAAGCAUACAAAGGAGCGAACUUUAGGCUCUCACAUAAUCGAGAAAAGAUGAGAAAUUUAUGCAUCAAACGUAGAUAGCGAGGCACACAAUGAGUUGGAAUUGCAAUGACAUGAUAGAUAUAUAUAUUGGCUCACUUUGGUCCAAGCGUUGAACGUGACACAAACUCUCUUAAGAAUCAAAGGAACUACAUCUUGAUUUCUUGACACUAACCUUCAUUAUAGCUAAGGAGGGAGCUUUAAGCAUCGCUAUCGUCACUACUAUCAUCAUCAUCCUCGUGGUUUCCGCUACGGUCAUUGGAGAUGUAGACUCCAGGCUGGAUCGAUCGUCUCCUAGUCCUCGACGGAAGGAUAUUAUCCAAAUCCACCUCCGCCAAAGGAUCGUCAGACAAAUCGCUUUCAUCGUACUCAUCACCAUCUUCGUCGUCGUCGUCGUCAUCAUCGCUAUCGUCACUUUCAUCAACUUCGAUCAGUUUUCCUUUUCCUUUGUCCUCUCUCGAUAUGCCUUUACCUUUCCUGUCGAUCUCAACUUCAAUCGAAUCCUCUUCUUCUUCGUCUUCAUAUCCAACUCCAUCGCCUUGCUUCUCUUCCGCUGUAUGAUCGUCGGGCACGCCGUUCUCAUCUUUCUCAAGCGAAAUCGAUGAUUCUGUUCCAAUUUUCAGAUUCUCGACGCCGGACUCAGAAUCAGCAGAACUCGACGACGAAGGGUUAAGCUUCUGAGCCUUGUUCGCCACAUUAUCCUGCUCUUGGCAACAGAGAUCCGAUUUCCUCUUCGCUGGAAACGAGGAGUCCUGUUGAUUCUCAACGUCCGCCAUAGAUGAAUCGAUCGUCUUCUUCGCGCUACAGAGACUUGCGGUUGCUUCGAGGAAGAUUCAGAGUUAGUUAGGGUUUCUCGAUUACUUAUGCAACUUCUCUUCGGUUUUAAUUUAUUGAUUGGACUCAGCCCAUUAGCCCAUUAGCCCAUUAGCCCAGUUUCUGUUGUGCCAGGUGGAGAACGUGCCGGGGAGAUACUAAACCGGCGUAAUGCUAAUAUCUUACCGGUUUGGUUUUCUACUUGUGAGUUUAUAAUUCGAACCGGUUAUCCAUUAUGAUUGAAGAAGUACAGAUCCAUCGGAGAAGAAGAAGAGACAUUGAGAAACAAUGACUUCGAGGUAUUGGGUGGUGUCUCUACCAGUGAAGGACUCUUCUUCCACGUUAUGGAAUCGUCUCCAGGAGCAGAUCUCCAAGCAUUCCUUCGAUACUCCAGUUUAUCGGGUACUCAGAUUCUGCUCGAUUUGGAUUGAAAUUGGCAGAGAUCUUCAACUAUUCUCGUGUUUGUGAUCUAACUUCUCGGAUUGCUGUUUUCAUUUUCGCAGUUCAACAUUCCUAACCUUCGAGUUGGAACGUUAGAUUCUCUGCUCGCCCUCGGCGAUGAUCUGCUCAAGGUGACUCAUCUGAUCACAAAUUUUGAUCUUUUGCGUUUUCCUUGUAUUGAUGAUUUUUUAAUGAGAUGUGUGCCAGUCAAACAGCUUUGUGGAAGGAGUUUCGCAGAAGAUCAGGAGACAGAUCGAGGAAUUGGAGAGGAUCUCUGGUGUGGAGAGCAACGCUCUUACUGUUGAUGGAGUUCCCGUUGAUUCUUAUCUCACAAGGUAUCUGUUUUUUUUUUUUUUUAUAUUCACAAAGAGUUGAUUGGUGAUUUGGUGGUGACUUGUGAUGUAAAGAACGAAACCUUUUUUUUUUGAUUGGUGUUAAGGUUUGUCUGGGAUGAAGCUAAGUACCCAACGAUGUCACCUUUGAAGGAGGUUGUGGAGAAUAUUCAGUCUCAGGUUGCCAAGAUUGAGGAUGAUCUCAAGGUCUUCACGCUGUUAAACCUUUACGCAGAAUGAUUAGUUAGCCGAAUGGUUCCGUUGGUGUAAUACUCUACACAAUACUUUCUUUGUGAAGAGUAGUUGGUAGUUUUAGUUUUUGAUUAUAAACUUAUUUUGGUGCUCUAAUGGAUUUCAGUGGUUCACAUGUUGUUUAGGUUCGCGUUGCUGAAUAUAACAAUGUCCGCGGUCAACUCAAUGCCAUUAACCGAAAGCAAAGUGGAAGGUAAACUUUUGUUUUCUUUCUCUUAUCCAUACUGUAAGAACUAAGAACAAACUAUAAAUCAUGGGCAGUAGUUUGUAACUACAAAAAAUUUAAUUGCUCUCUACGAUCUAGGUUCUGUUUGAAACAUGUUCGACAAUGUGAAGGGUUUAGCAUAACACCAAGUGAUUUUCCAGAUUAAUGCUGUUGGUUGUUAUCUGCUUGGAUGUUUUAUAUAUUUUGUAGCAAUGUGGCUGAUCUUCCUCCAAUUUCUUUUGUUACAGCUUAGCUGUUCGCGACCUCUCAAGCUUGGUUAAGCCAGAAGAUAUUGUCGCAUCUGAACAUCUCGAGACUCUUCUUGCAGUUGUUCCAAAGUAUUCCCAAAAAUACUGGCUAGCAUGUUAUGAGACAUUGACCGACUUUGUGGUAAAUUAAUGAUUUGCUGAGUUUAUGGACCAAAUGUGACACUAUUAUUUUUGACACAGGGAUUUUAAUCAGUUCACUCUUAUUCUUUCCAGGUUCCUAGGUCUUCGAAGAAAUUGUUUGAGGAUAAUGAGUAUGCUCUUUACACCGUCACUCUCUUUACUCGUGUUGCAGACAAUUUCAGGACAAAUGCACGUGAGAAAGGGUUCCAAGUGAGUAUGCUGUUCAAGAUUCUGAUAUCACCUCUAGAGCUUUCUUAGAAACUAUAUUAGUAGUAGUGAUAUUCCUUAGAACUGCCUUUAUUCACUGUGAAAGUUAAGACAUUUGGUUGAUUCUCAAAGCUUUGCUCAUCAUAUGUUGUACACCGUUUUCUUUUAGGUUCGUGAUUUUGAACAUAGCGUUGAAGCACAAGAGACUCGUAAACAAGAGCUAGAAAAGCUGGUUCAGGACCAGGAGAGUUUGAGAAGCUCUCUUUUGCAGUGGUGCUACACCAGUUAUGGAGAGGUAUUUACACAUUGCUCUUAUAUAUCAUCGUAGAAAUCUAACACCCAUCUGAUCAUCGGUCUAUAUGUGUAGGUUUUCAGCUCAUGGAUGCAUUUCUGUGCUGUGCGUAUAUUCGCUGAGAGCAUAAUGAGAUAUGGUUUACCUCCAGCUUUCUUGGUAACUUUAAAGACUCCAACCUAACUUAUGUUUUUUCUAGAGAAUCCCUCUAACUCCCUGACCACACGACUUUCUCUUGUUAUGACUUAUUUUCCAGGCAUGUGUCCUAUCUCCGGCUGUUAAAAGCGAGAAGAAAGUACGCUCCAUUCUUGAACGCUUGUGCGAUUCUACCAACAGGUGUGUUAUAAGUCUCUGUCUUUGUAUCGCUCUAGGCAUAAAAACUGGUUAGCGUUGGAGUUAUGAUCUUUGUAACAUAGAAAUUGCAGAACUUUGAGGAGAAAAAAUUAUUUAGUUAUGAAAGAUCAUUUGCCCACAAGAUAUAAGUGUUAGUUCAUCUCUAUAUGUAAAUAGUUUGAUGAGAUUUAGAUUCGAGUGUUUGAGUCUGAUUGUAUGAAAAAAACAAUGCAGUUUAUACUGGAAAAGCGAGGAGGAUGCAGGAGCUGGAGGAGCCAUGGCUGGUUUAGCCGGUGACUCCGAGACACAUCCUUAUGUCUCCUUCACGAUCAACCUUGCUUAGAAUUGAUGAGAGAUGCUUUAUGCUUCUUCUGCAUCUCACACUUAUAUUUGUUUAUGUUCUAUAUAUAUAUAUUCCAUUUUAUUAUUCGUGAUAAUUUUUCGAAAUAAAAGAAAUAAAUAUGAAGGUGGCACUCAAGAGAG
rnacentral:lncRNA from 1 species